rnacentral:rRNA from 1 species
GCCCGCACAAGCGGUGGAGCAUGUGGUUUAAUUCGAUGAUACGCGAGGAACCUUACCUGGGCUUAAAUGGGAAAUGACAGUUUAGGAAACUAGACCUUCUUCGGACAUUUUUCAAGGUGCUGCAUGGUUGUCGUCAGCUCGUGCUGUGAGGUGUCGGGUUAAGUCCCAUAACGAGCGCAACCCCUAUCUUUAGUUGCCAGCGAGUAAUGUCGGGGACUCUAGAGAAACUGCCGGUGCAAACCGAGAGGAAGGUGGGGAUGACGUCAA